rnacentral:misc_RNA from 1 species
GGAAACGGCAAUGCUUAUGUUUAUGACCUUGGUAGUACACACGGGACAUUUGUUAAUAAAAAAGAGGUGACAAAGAGAGUUUUUGUGGAUCUCCAUGUUGGUGAUGUCCUUCGAUUUGGACAAUCAUCACGAUUAUACAUAUUUCAAGGACCAACUGACUUGAUGCCACCGGAAGCUGACCUGAAGAGGGUAAGACAAGCGAAGAUCCGGGAAGAGAUGCAUGACAUGGAAUCAUCACUUCUCCGUGCAAAACUGGAAGCAUCUCGUGCAGAUGGGAUCUCAUGGGGAAUGCGUGAUGAUGCUAUUGAGGAGAACGAGGAUGAAGUUGACGAAAUAACUUGGCAAACUUACAAGGGACAGCUUACAGAGAAGCAGGAAAAAACACGUGAAAAAGUUGUGAAAAGACUUGAAAAGAUUGCUCAUAUGAAAAAAGAGAUAGAUGCUAUUCGGGCCAAGGAUAUUUCUCAAGGUGGAUUGACACAGGGACAACAAACUCAAAUUGCUCGUAAUGAACAGAGGAUAUCACAGAUAGUGGAAGAGCUUGAAAACUUGGAAGAGACUUUAAAUGAGAGUAUACGGGAAAGUCUUGGUGCACGCACUGGAAGGACAUCCAAUGGAAAGAAAAAGGAGCCUGAAGAAGAGGAGUUUUCAAGUGAGGAGGAUGAAUUCUAUGAUCGCACACAGAAGCCUUCAAAGAGAAAAGUUGGCGAAAAUCAAUCAAUUGAGACAGCUGAUUCUCUUCUUGAUAAGAAGGAUGCCAUUGUCAGGGAAAUGGAAGACAAGAGAAAAUUAUUUCUUGAUGAAAAGGAUGGUACAGGUCAGGAAAGUGAAAUGGAAGACAAGAGAAAAUUAUUUCUUGAUGAAAAGGAUGGUACAGGUCAGGAAAGUGCAGUUGAAGCUGGAGAUGAACUAGAUGCUUACAUGUCUGGCCUUUCAUCUCAGCUAGCUCUGGAGAAGGAGGAAAAGCUUCACAAGGAACUCGCUACUCUCCAGACGGAGUUGGACAGGGUACUUUACUUGCUUAAGAUUGCUGAUCCUACUGGUGAGGCUGCUAAAAA